rnacentral:lncRNA from 1 species
CACAUUAGCUCCUGAGCAACUUGGAGAGGCUGGACCCUGGGGUAUGUCUACGAAGGAGAAACCAUGCAGCGUCCUUCUACCCUGUCAGGCCUGGAACUGUGAAUGGACUGAAGACCAGUGGGGCCUUCAGCUACUGGCCUGGACUCUUGGAAGCAAACUUGUUUUUCUGUGAUUCACCAGAAACUCUCAGGACGAGAAUAUCUCAGUCUUCCAAGGUUUGGCUUCAUUGAUCCACUAAGAAGCACGGUCCCAUGCCCAAGGCGCUCAAUUUUCAGCUGUGAAUGACCCUCGCUCACCAGGUACCCGAACACCACACUCCCCUUCCUUCGUGGAUAGAACUCAGGCCUUGAUGGUGUCAACUUUGGGAGAUUUCAGUAGCACAACAGGUCCAGCUUGAUGGAUUGUUUUAAGAGAACUAUUAUUGUCACACUGGAAAAAAAAAUCAUCAAAGUGCACCAAGGAAAGGAUGUUUGGGGCAGGUUAGAGCCCUGACAGUGCUUUGCCCCGUCCACCCCCACUGUGCUGCGAUUCCUUAUCAGUCCUACCUGGAGUGCCACAAAUCACCGUAAAUUGACUAUUAUGUCACCGUGGGCAUUGGGAUGACGAAUAACCUGGAGUAACCUCAUGGAUUCUAAGCAGAAAGUUUUCUUGCUUGUGUCAACCCACAUAGAAGUACUUAGGAGCAGUGCUGAAUUGAUGUUCUAUCUUUAUGAGCCUCUUUGACAAAAUGAGAGUUGGAAGCAGUUAGUUUCUGCUUGCCCAGGGUAUGGGAACAUGCCCUGGAUUCUGAGCUGUGAACAAGCCAAGGACCUCAAGCUGUCCUCGCGGGAAGCUCAUUAAAACAGGAAGUAAGCAAUUCAAAAUAGUUUCAAGAAGUUCCUGAAACUGACCAGAUUCACGAAGAUCCUCCCUCUCCAAGAGUACAUAAAUAGUAAAGACUAUGGAGACUCACUGUCAAACAAGCUAAGAGGCCUGGAAAUCAUCAAUGAUGAGAAGAAAGCCUUUUCACUCCUCCAAGAUAUUGACUACAGGAGGAGAGAUCAAUAGACUCACAGAAACUAGAAAAGAUUCGGGCAGCCGGAAUUGGCCAAUUUUGAACAGCUGUUCUCUGGACAUCUUAUUGUUAUCGUUCCACUGAUGUCCAUUGCAGGGAGUCGACAGUCAAGAUGUACAAAAGCCAUACAAUAAUAGUGAAUGAUAAUCACAGGCAACUUUCAAGUGCUCACUCUGUGUCAUACACACAGGAAGUGAGAUGAUGAAGAGAUUAAGGAGUUAUCCAAGAUCACACAGCCUGAACAGUGAGGGAGUCCAACCCCGGGACCUCAUUUCUGUUCACUGGUGUACAGAGUAUUUAAUGUAGAUGCUAAUUAACUGAGUCAAUGGUUUCCUAUUGCAAAGCUUCACAAUCGGCAGCAUCCUUUCAUAUACAAGGCAUUUUGAUUGGACAGCUUCCUCAAAUGAAUAGGCAAGCAUUGGUUGCUGUUUCCCCUUUCCUCUUUUUCUAGUUGGGGGUCAGAGAAUUAAAUAGUUAAAGGGCAAAGACUCAGACACAUCUAGUUUACUCAAGAGACUAUAGCAGUAUUUCAUUGACUACUUAUAUUCCUUUCUGAAUUGGGGAAAGGCAGACACACCCUGGAUUUUGUUUUCUUUGUUUUGUUUUGUUACUUUCCUACAGACAGGUAGACACACUUGAUUUUUUUUGAGGUUUUUGUUUCUUUGCUUGCUUCUGAAGAUGCAGACAUUAAAAUAUUUAGUUAUUUUAAUGUCCAAAUAGAAUAGGUAUGCAAAGGUUUAAUCUGUGGAAAGAAAAGACAUUCAAACAAAGUAGGAAGAUAAGAGGGAGCUGCAAAUCCCAAUGAGCUAUUACAUCAUACACAUUAGCAAGCUACAAUAAAACCUAGAAAGUAAUGAGUCUUGGCAAGGGUGUGGAGACUCUGAACCAUCUACACUCUUGGUUUCCAGUGAUACAGCUACUGUGGAAAAUAAUAUGCUAGUUCCUGGGAAGAUUAAACCAGAACCACCAUAGUAGCUGCUGCUUUCACAUCAUAGCUAGUUUUGUAUCUAUAACAAAAUGCCCAUGUAAUCAGCUCAAAGAAACAAACGAUUAUUUGUCCUCAGGUUUCACAGCUCUCCAGCCAUGGUUGGCUGGUUCUAUUGCUUAGGAACCUAUGGCAAAGCAGGGGUGUGUUGGUGCAGAUCUGCUUGCCUCAUGAUGCCCAAGAAGCAGAGAGUAAAUAGUAAGAAGGAGCAUGACAUACCCAAAGGUAUGGAUACUUGUUUGGCGUAUUCUAGAACUAUGAGAGCUAGUCCUCAGGGAGGAAGGUUUUAGAUCAGAUCCAGGUCAGUUCCUCCAGGUCCUGUGUCUUUGGUAAUAGGGACUUACUUUCUGCCUCUAGGAGGAAACCAAGGGCAGCAGCUAUAUCGGAUGUUUUGGGGAUCUCUUGGACUUUUAAUUCCUAAUUCAAGGAUUAGAUCAGAGUCCUCAUAAUCCACUCGCUCCUUAACAGUGCCACCAGUUAGGGACUACGUCUUAACACAUAACAUUUGGAGGUACUUCAUGUCCAAACUACAGCCAGACAACAUCUAAAAAAUUGAAGUUAGAGUCUUAAAGAGGGAUUUAUGUUUCCCUAUUCACAGUAGUACAGAGAACUAUGAGAGACAGUAGUACAGUCACACUAGUAGUAGUCACCCCAGAGAUCACUGAUGCCUAUGUUAGCUAAUUCCCUCCUUACUGAUACUGAGACCAAAGACAGAAGUAACUUAAUGGCAGCUACAUGUUUUGAGUUAUGUUUUGAGAGGACAUGGUCCAUUAUGGAAGGGAAAUAAUGGUGGCAGGAACAUGAAGUAGCUGGUCACACUGUACCCACAGUCAGAAAGCAGAGAAAGUUAGAUGCUAUCUAUGUUCAGUCCUCUUUCUCCAUUUUCUCUGUCUGGGACCUUCCUGCUGGCUCAUUUGGUCUCAGCCUCGUCUGGGCAGGUCAGCUUAUCUGAGAGUCUUCUGAGCAGCUUCUCUGUCCUCUGCUUCUUCUAAGCAGUUUGGCUUCUCUGAGAGUGAUUCUCAGCAGUCUUGACUGCAGUAUUUCAGAUCUCCCUUAGACUAUUCCUGCUGUUUUGCCUCCCUAUUCAUACCCUAUGUGUUAGAGAGUUUCCCUCCAAGGAAGUUUUAAUUUCAAAAGAAACUGCUAUGCAAUACAUAGGAAGAUAGUCUCUGUAUCCUGUCCCUGUGUGCUUCUAAGGAUGUUCUUCUUGGGAGUCAAGGGCUUGGUACCCUAAUGUAGCCAUGGAAAUAUUCUGCCAAAAUCUACAGUGGCAAGCAUUUGCUUGGUAUAUCUUUAUUAUAGCAAACUUGUUAACUUAGGAAAUAUUUUAGUCUUGAGAGAAGAAAGAAAACAUAUUUAUACUGGGGGAAAUAUUGUCUAUAAAACUGACUUCACUUUACUAGUAGGUGGUAGACCUUCUGGUUCCCCUGUUUGUCUGUGUUAGACACACUAGGAUCAGCAGCUCCCCAAAGUAAAUGCAAGCUAAGGCCACCUGGGAAAUUAUCUGUUACAAUUUUUCUCCAUCAUUCAAAAUGGGACUUCAACAAAGGAGCUAGUUCUUCCAAUGACCCUCAUCUCUGUGCCUUUGUUCCAUGAUCUGUCCUUAGUGGCUCUUAUUAAACAUACCUCUCAGGACCAGGGAGAUGGCUCAGUCAGUAAGCACUUGACUUUAUUUUGUACUGGGAAGGUAGAGACAAGUAGAUCUCUUGAGACUCACUUGCAGCCAGCCUAGUUGAAUUGGUGAGUCCAAGGUCAGCAAGCAACUAUGUUCCCAAAAAGCGAAGUGGAGAGCAAUUAAGGAUGAUACCCAAGUCUGACUAAGUCUUGUCACUCACACACACACAACACUAGCAUGUACACAUAUGUGAAAAAAAUUCAAGAAGACACCUUUCAAACCUGACUCUACAAAGUCCUCAGUGUGCUGUGGUUGGUGUGUUUCCCCUCUCAUCACUGGGCUCAGGUUUACUCCUGAUUUACAAGGAGAGUUGCUUCCUACCACCUCCCCAGUCAACCACACUAGAUGGGUUUCACCAGUCUGUCUGCAGGUAGUGCCGCCUGCCCCAGGUUACAGUGAGAAAAUGACGCCUUGAUGUAUGUUUGCUGUGGCUUAUUGAUCCUAUUAACAUUAGCUCUUGGGAAAAUCAAUGCUUCGGUCUUGCAGGAGGUGUAUAAAUAAAAGUAUCAGCUCUAAGAGGUUUCUGGUAAUGUCUACAGCCUCCUACACAUAUGCUCAUAUCAUCUGCAAAUAUUGCUGACUGGCUGUGACUCAAGGGAUGGAGGAGCUUCAGUGCCAGAGUCUGCCAUCUUGGCAUGAGAAUUUGUGCACCACUGAGUUUCAAUUCUACCCAGCUCCCCUGAGAUGCCAUGUGACUUUCCAGGUCUUUUAUCCUCAGAGAGUGGAUGGAGAACUUGGGAGUUUGAAGACAUGCUUGUAGGGUUUUGUGUUCCUCCUGCAGACCAGCUUGAUUUCUCACAUGUCUGAGGACAACAGAUGGCAAAGCAGGUGGCUGGCACUGGAAUUCCUCCGCAUCUACUUCAGGAACCUCAAUGCUCUGUCACACCAAAGUUGGGUUUGUGUGAUUCCUUGUCUUUGGGACACAGAACAAAGUAGAUGGGUUCACCCAUUUCCCUCACACACUAUUCAAUGCUGUAGGCCAGGGUCUUUUCUCUUAUUGACCUAAUGGCUUAUGAUUCUGUAUUUUAUCUGUGGCAGUUUGAAUAAGAACAGCCCCCAUAGGCUCAUAGAUUCAAAUGCUUAGUCUUCAGGGAAUGGCACUACUUGAUAAGGAUGAAGAUGUAUGCCCUUAUUGGAGUGGGUGUGGCCUUGUUGGAAGAAGUGUGCCACUGGGGGUGGGCUUUGGAGUUUCAAAUGUUCAAGUUAUGCCCGGUGACACUAAUUCUUCAUGCUGUCUGCUGAUCCAGAUGUAGAACUCUCGGCUCUUUCUUCAACACCUUGUCAGCGUCUAUGCCACCAUGCUUCCUGUCAUGACAAAAUUGGGCUAAACCUCUGAACCUGUAAAUAGACCUCAGUGAAAUGCUUCCCUUUAUAAGAGUUGCCAUGGACACAGUGUCUUCAUUCACAGCAAUAGAACCCUAACUAGCACAUUAUUUCACCCCUCCCCCUUGCUUUUCUACUGCUCUUCCCCUUUGAAGUCACAGAUAAAACAUCUUCCCUCAACUUUGUGGGGACACAGCAGAGUGAGCCUAACUUAUUUCUACUCUGACACCUUCCUCUCUGCUAUAGUAAUUUUGACUAAAUCCACUUUUGUUAAUAUACUUCUGGUUUUGUUCAGUCCAGAACCUGGGGUCAUUUGUGUUCUUAAUCUCUUCUCAGGACAGCAGUAAAAAUUCAUUCAUGUUGUAUCAAAAUUGAAAUAGUAACCACAACACCACUUUCAAGCAGGUAACUACAGUAUCAUACACUUCCAAGUGGGAUUUCCAUACCCACUUGAAAUGAAAGCAUAUGCAUUAGUUUUCAUUCAUUGUUACAUUGUAACUGCUGGUGUAUUUUAUUCUUGAAUGCCACUGUUAUAAUCUUUAUGGACUAUCUGAUGGAAAAAUAUGCCAUUAUUUAAUCAGGGUUUCUAAUAAAAAUGUCUAUGCUUCUUAAAAUUAUGGUUCUGGGAAGAAUGUCAGGGACAUGAAACAGUUCAUGACUUCUGAUCCCUCAAGAGGAUCAGGAACAACAUGACUUAGGGAGAUGAGAAUUUAUCAGGAGACAUGGCAGGAAACACAGGCAUGGUUUCAAGAUGGCAGGAUCAAAAACCUGAGAGAUCGCAUCUUUAACACAAGCAAGAAACAGAGGGAGAGAAGUGAAAGACAAGAAUAUGUGCUACUGCAGU